UCUAAGAAAUAUUCCUUGACCAAGUUGAAAUUAAUGAGAAUAGGUUUCAACUUGGUCAAGGAAUAUUUCUUAGA
ensembl:miRNA